AGUUGGAAUAUGAAAGGUUUCUUAAAAAAUAUAAAGCAUCAAUUUGGGUAAAGAGUACUGAGUACUCUUCAACUUCAUCCACCGCCUCUCUUAUGCUAUGUUCCCUCUGAGUAGGAAUCAAUGCCUUAUCUCUUACCUUCUCUAGGUGAUCUUCAAGAUUGGACGCUACAUUUCAACAAUGGUGCUCUGUCUAUCAUCUUCUCCUACCUCUGGUGGUCAGAGUUUAUCCCUACAGGACUGAAGUAACAUGCUUACACUUGGAUUUGACAUUUUCUGGUCUGAUGAUGAAUCAGCUUGGGCUGUAGUGAUUUGAGCAAAUUUGAGGUGCGGUAGAGGCAAGAUCCAUGUACCCCUCUUUUUGGUGAAGGUUUUUGGUAGCUAGGGCAACUAGCUAGUUUAGGCACAAGAUUAUUGUCUAUAUUAGGACAAACAAUGUUUAUAUUGUGCAUGUCUUUCCCUCGCAUCCCCGUGGCUUUGUAUUUAUAGGAACCCUCUUUGUGGUGCUUCCUACUUAUGAAUGACUGAUUCUGUAUAUGCAUGUUUCUCCUGCCUUCCAUUA